UGCUUCUGGAGCGGCCUUAUUCCUAUCAGCUAGUUGGUGAGGUAACGGCUCACCAAGGCGAUGACGGGUAGGGGACGUGAGAGCGUGAUCCCCCACAAUGGCACUGAGACACGGGCCAUACACCUACGGGUGGCAGCAACUGGGAAUAGUUGUCAAUGGGCGAAAGCCUGAACACGCAAUACCGCGUGAGGGAUGAAGUAUCUCGGUAUGUAAACCUCUUUUGCCAGGUCGUCGAGGCCUGGAGAAUAAGCACCUACUAACUACGUAAUCCCGCUAAUCAUAUUAAUUAUGAGGAAAGCGGGAUGGUGCGUAGUAUAAAUUCCACUAUAUGCUGGAAAAUCUGACGAAGACGAUAGUACCCCGCUUUCAUGUAACCAUGAAGGUUUGGCGGGGUGAAAAUUUAUCGUUAAACCCAUGAAGACACGCGAUUGGUCGGUACGGGUUGGCAGACAAUCAGCAGGAAAGACUACCGCAUUUUUUAAAAAAUGCGGAAAUCUCAAAUCACAAAACUCAAUGACCAACUCAUACAUUGUUGGGAUUUGGAGCUUAAGAUUUGUGAUUUCUCAAAAUGUUAUACAUUUUGAGUUGUAUCCUCAGAGACUACACGUGGAACCCGCCGAUGAGGCGAGGAUGAUAUAGUCCAAGUUUGAAACAUUUAUUGUUUCAGGCCAGCAGUCGCGGUAAUACGUAGGGUGCAAGCGUUAUCCGGAAUUACUGGGCGUAAAGAGUCGCGUAGGCGUUUUCAUACGUCAUGUCUUAAAUAGUGAGGCCUAACCUCAUCGUUGGAUGUGAGACUAUGAGAAUUUGAAGUAGAUAGAGGUACCUGGAACUCGUGGUGGAGUAGUGAAAUGCGUUGAUAUCACGAGGAACACCAAAGGCGAAGGCAAGGUACUGGGUCUUACUUGACGCUGAGGCACGAAAGCUCGGGGAGCGAAGCAGAUUAGAGACCUGCGUAGUCCGAGCCCUAAACGCAUGGAUGCUAGAUUGUCCGCCCUAGGCGGACUGUCGUAAGCUAACGCGUUAAGCAUCCCGCCUGGGGACUACGAGCGCAAGCUUAAAACUCAAAGGAAUUGACGGGGACCCGCACAACCAGUGGAGCAUGUGGUUCAAUUCGAGACGAAGCGAAAGACCUCACCAGGGUUUGACAUGUACCUGCAUACGUCAGAAAUGACGUAGCCUUCGAGGGUGGUACAAAGCUGCUGCAUGGCUGUCGUCAGCUCGUGCCGUGGGGUGUUGGCUUAAGUGCCAGAACGAGCGCAACCCCCAUCCAAUGUUAGAUAUUCAUUGGAGACUGCCCCCUUCUCUGAGAAAACAAUACUUUUGUUUUUUGAGGGAAGGGGGAGGAAGGAGGGGACGACGUCAAGUCAGCACGGCGCUUAUGCCCUGGGCGACACACAUCCUACAAUGGCGAAUAACAACGAGAUGCAAGCACGCGAGUGCAAGCUAAUCUCUGAAAUUUCGCCUCAGUUCAGAUUGCAGUCUGCAACUCGACUGCAUGAAGUUGGAAUUGGUAGUAAUCGCGGAUCAGCAUGGUCGCGGUGAAUACGUUCUCGGGUCUUGUACACACCGCCCGUCAAGUCAACAAAGUUGGUAGUGGCUGAAGUAUUUCGCAAGAAGUCCUAAGCCAAGAUCAGCGAUGGGGACUAAGUCGUCGGCCUAUAGUAUUAGGCAUUGCGACCUCAAACAGCAAUGUUUCUGAAAAACGUAUCUGUAUCGGUGAACCCUACGUCCUGAUGUAUAAUCAAGAUAAGGGAAUACCGAGGGAAGUUUAGAUGAAGCAUGGUCCUACAAACACCAGAUUUUUAAGAGAGAAGAAAUCAUCUCUCAAGUUAACUCCAUUACAAAGAGAUUUCAUUAUUGGGACAAUACUUGGAGAUGGAUGUCUAAUAACUUCUCGAUCUGGUGAGUCAGCGCGCUUACAAGUACGACAGAAAGCAAAAUAUCACGAAUUUGUUUCCUGGAAGUACAAUUUCUUUAAAGAAUGGAUUAUGACGAAACCGCGGUAUGAUCGCUAUAAUGAUUCAGCCGUAUUUCAGACUAUUUCACAUCCAGACUUAAUGGAAAUAAAGAAGCUUUUUUAUCAGGAUAAUAUAAAAAUUAUCCCUGAAAAUAUAAAGGACUUACUUAUAAAUCCAUUAAGCUUAGCUAUUUGGUUUAUGGAUGAUGGAAACGGUUAUAAAAAAUAUCCAUAUUUAAGAUUAAGCACGUAUGCAUUUAAAGAAAGAGGGAAUGAACUUUUACAAAUCUGCCUUAAAGAAAAUUUUGGAUUAAGUUCUAGAAUUGUAGAUUCCAGUAAAGGGAAUUAUCUCUAUUUUUUAAAAGACUAUGCACUUAAACUUUAUAAACUCAUCAAGCCAUAUGUUAUUCCAUGUAUGGAGUACAAGUUUAUAAAGGUUAAAUCUAUAACCCCGUAGAGACUACACGAUGCCUCCUGAUUGGCUAUCAGGAUGAAGAUAUAGUCCAUGCCUCUGGAAACAGAAGGAAUAACAUGAACAAGGUAUCCCUAGCCGAAGCUGGGGAUGGAUCACCUCCUU
rnacentral:rRNA from 1 species